GAUGAACGCUGGCGGCGUGCCUAAUACAUGCAAGUCGAGCGAACGGACGAGAAGCUUGCUUUUCUGAUGUUAGCGGCGGACGGGUGAGUAACACGUGGAUAACCUACCUAUAAGACUGGGAUAACUUCGGGAAACCGGAGCUAAUACCGGAUAAUAUUUUGAACCGCAUGGUUCAAAAGUGAAAGACGGUCUUGCUGUCACUUAUAGAUGGAUCCGCGCUGCAUUAGCUAGUUGGUAAGGUAACGGCUUACCAAGGCAACGAUGCAUAGCCGACCUGAGAGGGUGAUCGGCCACACUGGAACUGAGAGGCGGUCCAGACUCCUACGGGAGGCAGCAGUAGGGAAUCGUCCGCAAUGGGCAAAGCCUGACGGAGCAACGCCGCGUGAGUGAUGAAGGUCUUCGGAUCGUAAAACUCUGUUAUUAGGGAAGAACAGAUGUGUAAGUAACUGUGCACAUCUUGACGGUACCUAAUCAGAAAGCCACGGCUAACUACGUG
rnacentral:rRNA from 1 species